rnacentral:lncRNA from 1 species
UUUGUUUCGCAAUAUGUCGCUUAGAUAUUUUGUAUAUGAUAUCGAACAGUUUAUGCGCUUUUGAAAUUUACCCUGCAUAAACGAAUACUUUUCUUUGUAGGAGUUAUCUCCCCAAACACUGUUUUCCUUGUUAUCACAUCUCUUCGCAACCGUAAAAGAUUAUGACAAAUUUAUUUUACAAAAUUGCUCGUUAUAUCUUCGCAUGAUUUGUCCUAUUUUGACCGAAGCGAUAUGACCGCUCCAUAUGAGAGUUAUUUCCCCUUAUGCAUCUGAUAUAAGUGAUAUGAAUUUCUAUCUUAUAAAUCAUAAGUGAUAGAGACCUAGGAUCUUUUGAUUUGAGGUCCUUGGUCCCAAAAAAUGAAAAUUAGGUCAAGGUCAAAGGUCAAGGUCAUAUUCUAAUAUUUGAAUUUGGCUUAUUUUCACUUAUAUCCAAAGACUGUAUAAGAUAUCAACAAAUUAUUUUUACUAAAUUGUUAGUUGCGACAUGUCGUAAGAUGUAAAUUUUGAUUGCAAGCGUACGUUGAAUGUAAAAGGGAGUUUUCUCCCCUCUUGUAUUUAAAAAUACGCGUUUGGUGAUAUAACUCAUUAACUAAAUAUAAUUAAGACCUAUGGUCUUUUGAUUUGAGGUCCUUGUUUAUGACCUUGAAAUUGAUCUCAAGGUCAUAGCUUAAUUUGACGUUCUAGAUUUUGACCUUUGCUUUUAUUCUAUAUGUAUACAUGAUAAAGAUAUACAACUUUUAGAAAAAGGUCUCAAACCAUUUAACCUUGAAAAAAACCAACCGGAAGUGACUUUUUGUAAACCGGAAGUAGCUAUUUUUUGUACUUUAUUAAUAUAAAAGUCUAUAGAACCAGAUAUUUUUGGAAUCAGUGUCAAGUAAAUAUUCAAAUAUAAUCGGAAGUAACAUUUUUCAAACCGGAAGUAAAAAUUAUCUCCCUUAUUUAAAAAAAUGUAUGGAAACAUAUAUUUUUUGGAAUCAGCUUAACUAGGAGCUAUCAUUUGACGAUUGAAAUGACAUUUUAAACUUAGUUUCACAACUUUUCAUAUCAAAAUACAUUGUUUUGAUGGAAAGACCUUCCAUUUUUUAAUUAUUAUUAUUAUUCUUCCGCCAAACUUUGACGCAUUAAGCCUCCGUAACCGUAAGACGUGUCGCUUUCUUGUUCACACUUUGUAUCGGUGUCAUGAAUAUCUAUCCAGAACUCACCCUAUUAGUCGAAAUAUUUUGUCGGUUCGGAGUAAUCCCUCCGAAACCAAAAAACCUUGUUAUCGUUCCAACACCGUAACCAUAAUAGGUAGAAAAAAAACAAAGGCUGAAAUUUGUUCAGGACCAGAGGUCGGUUCUUCGUUACAUUUGGAUCGAAAAGAUUCAACGACUCAUUGGUAGAGUUAUGCCCCUAUGAAAAUUAACCGGUGUCGGUGGACCACCAAAACUCAGAAACCGUAAGUCGUAGAGACCUAGGAUCUUCACCAAUCAUCAUCAAUUCAUGUAUCUUUGAAAAAAACCUCAAGGUCAAAUUUGUAUGUUGACCUUGACCUUUGACCUAACACCUUGUUAUGGGAUAAUCUCAGAAACCAUUAUACUUACAGAAGUUUUACAUAGUGGAAAAUAUUUGAGUCAUUAUGGCGCAACUUUGUUACAUUUUGACCAAAGAGAUUUGACCUUUCUAUAAGGGGCAUAACCCCUGUUUUAGGUUUCUGAAAAGACAAAAUCAGCUUUUACUAUAUAACCAAAGGUCCUAGACCCUUGGGGUCUUCAGUAAUGGCAUUGGAGAGUAAUGACCUUGACAAAGGUCAAAAGGUCAAAGGUCAAGGUCAUGUCCCAGAUAGCGAAUUUAGUGUUUUUAACCUUAUAUAAAGCAUUUUUAGUGUGUUUUGGAGCUUUUUAAGGUUGACCUUGACCUUUUCAAUACAUUCUACGUCUGUUGGAACGUGUAUUUUACAUUACAAAAGGAAAGACCUCUCAAUUGUUCAAGAACAAUUGACAGUUUAAUUAUUAUUUUUUUUCUUCCGCCUAAUUUUUUUUGCUUCGCUAACUUUUUGUUUCACAAGAUGUCACUUAGAUAUUUUGUAUAUGAUAUCGAAGAGUUAAUACGCUUUUGAAACUGACACCGCGUAACAAAAAUCUUUUCCAUGUAAGAGUUAUCUCCCCGAACACUGUUUUUCUUGUUAUCACUUAUAUGUCGCAACCAUAUAAGAAACCGACAAAUUUAUUUUACCAAAUUGCUCGUUAUAUCCUCAGGAUGAAAUGAAUAAUUUUAGUCGAAGCUAUCCGGAGACUCCAUAUGAGAGUUAUUCCCCCUUUUGUAUAUGAUAUAACUGAUUUGCAUUUCUAACUGGUAAACGAUAAGUGACAUAGGCCUAGGGUCUUUUGAUUUAAGGUCCUUGGUUCAAAAAAAUGAAAAUGAGGUCAAGGUCAAAGGUCAAGGUCAUGUUCAAAAUUUUGAUUUUGGCUUGUUAUCGCUUAUUUUCAGAAAUCUUAUAAGAUAUCGACAAAAUAUUUUC